rnacentral:rRNA from 1 species
AUUGAACGCUGGCGGCAGGCCUAACACAUGCAAGUCGAGCGAGCGGCGGACGGGUGAGUAAUGUCUGGGAAACUGCCUGAUGGAGGGGGAUAACUACUGGAAACGGUAGCUAAUACCGCAUACCAUCGGAUGUGCCCAGAUGGGAUUAGCUAGUAGGGGGGGUAAAGGCUCACCUAGGCGACGAUCCCUAGCUGGUCUGAGAGGAUGACCAGCCACACUGGAACUGAGACACGGUCCAGACUCCUACGGGAGGCAGCAGGGGGGAAUAUUGCACAAUGGGAGCAAGCCUGAUGUAGCCACGCCGCGUGUGUGAAGAAGGACUUCGGUUUGUAAAGUACUUUCAGCGAGUAGGCGUUACUCGCAGAAGAAGCACCGGCUAACUCCGUGCCAGCAGCCGCGGUAAUAC